CUCCGAUCUGAAGUCUGAACUCGUGCUAUAGCGUGACUGAGAGACCAACUGCGGACAUGGAGAACUCUGGCUCCGCUUCCGACGUGGGCUACCCAUCAGAGGGCGAGGUGAGAAUCCUCGUCGUCGACGAAGACCCACUCAGCCUCAUCACCCUCAUUCGGACGCUCAAGAGCUGUGGCUACCAAGUGACGGCCAAGGCGUCGCCGGAAGAGGCGCUGCGAGAGGUGCGGCAGAAGCCGGAGGGGUCGUUCGACCUCGUCAUAACUGUGGCGCGCACGGAGGGGACAGGUAUCGAUGGCUUUGGCCUCCUCGAGCACCUCAGAAAUCGUCUCCCAGUCAUCCUGGUCAGCAACGAGCCCGAGCCCAUGGAGACGAUGAUGAGGGGGUACCUGGGAGGCGCUUUCGAGUUCUUGACCAAGCCCCUGGGCGAGAAGGAGCUGCGCUACAUCUGGAAGCACGUCUCCCGGUGGAGGAUCAACGCCGCGAACGGCUCCGACCCUCGGUGGAGAAGAUCCGCCGGAGCGGUGAACGGCUCCGGCGAGGGGAGCUCUCGCGGCGUCCGGCAACAGAAGAAGCGGUGCAGGACCACUAGGAAGACCCAGUUCAACUCGUUGCCGAACCUGCACGCGUUGUUCGUCGAGGCGGCCGAAGUGCUCCAGGGAACGGAAGGAUAUUGUCUCAAAGGGAUACGUGAACUCUUGUCAGCUCAAGGUAUAGAAAUACCUAUAGACCAAGCCACAAUCCAUCUGGAGAUAUACGAAAGGGACCGUCUAAUUAAUCAUCUAUCUGGCGAGCCCACAGACAUGUCAUCUCAUUAUAACAAUUCAGGGAACUAUUUGACGUAUCAAAGUUCAGGAUCCUAUAUGAGAUCUCAUGGAGCUACAAAUGUUAACCAGCUAAGUAAUGGUGCAUUACCACGCUGUCGUGGCGUUCUUGGAAAUGAGAGCUACAGAGCUAGUCAUGUUGGACAUCUUCACAACAAUGGCAAUCACCAUGGCAAUUCUAGUGGUUAUGGCAAUGCUAAUGCUAAUGCUAAUGGUUAUUGUGGUAAAGGUCCAGAAAACAGAAGCAUGGUUAGUGCACCUCCAUCUUUCAACCAAGCACAACAAGUACAAUAGACAAUGGCCACUCCUGGUUUGGUUCCAAGAUUCAGCUACCACGGCAGCACCCGUGGGAUAGCAAUGUUGGGUGAUGGUGAUGACAUGGUGAGAAGCUACCAGCUGGGUGAAAUAGAGGCCAUCCAGAACAAUGCAGCAACAUGUAUGACCCAAGGAAUCCAUGAAGCUGGCGCUGCUGGUCAAGCCAGUGCAUCGCAUGCUCAAGACUUCACUGACUUUUUAAACUGGGAGAGCACUUGUGGAAACGGAAUAACUGGGCCAUCAGAUGCAAUGUGAUCCAAGUGAGGACGAAAUUAAAAAGCUUAAUAACUAGCAGGGCAUACAUUAAUUGCAAGCUUUAUAUAUAAAGCUGGGCCAAGGGCCUUCUCUUUAAAAGGGCAUACAUUAAUUGCAAGAAUGCUAACCCUGCCUAUGAUGAAUUAGCAAGGAACAUGGUGUGCUCUCCUCUAUAUGAAUGAAUCGAUCUUCAAUUUGGUUAUUUAUGAAGUAGAAAUAAAGUACUAUUCUGUAAAAUAAGUUAACUGUUGAUACUGUUCAUGUACUAAGUUAAUUUGAAGAUAUGUAUGCGUGAGACUUUGUCUUGGAA